UACGGAGGGUGCAAGCGUUACUCGGAAUCACUGGGCGUAAAGGACGCGUAGGCGGGUUGUCAAGUCAGGUGUGAAAUCCUACAGCUUAACUGUAGAACUGCACUUGAAACUGGCAACCUAGAGUAUGGGAGGGGAAGAUGGAAUUAGUGGUGUAGGGGUAAAAUCCGUAGAUAUCACUAGGAAUACCUAAAGCGAAGGCGAUCUUCUGGAACAUAACUGACGCUAAGGCGUGAAAGCGUGGGGAGCAAACAGG
rnacentral:rRNA from 1 species